rnacentral:lncRNA from 10 species
GGGGAGGGGACUGCCAGGUAGGGGAGGAGAGAUGUGGACUCACUGCCGCCCAUAUCUCCAGUCUCCUCAGCACCUAGAAACAACUUACACUGCCUUAUAAGGCUGAAAUGCUGCUGCCAGAGAGCUGUGGGGCCCAGGCCUUGAAUUCUUGGUGCACCAGUGCUUGACAGGCUCCCCUUAUUUCCCACUGGCACCGCUGGGCCUAGGGGUUUUCCUAUUGUUUUUCUAAAGGCAUUCCAAGGCCAGGACAAUGUUAAUUUAAGUUCCUCCAGGCUGAAUUUUUUUUUUUUUUAAUUACAGAGGGGUGUCACUAUGUUGCCCAGGCUAGAAUGCUGUGCACUACAACAGGCUCAAUUCUCUCUCUCUCUCUUUUUUUUUUUUUUGUCGGAGAUGAGAUCAGCUAAUAACAGACUCAAUUCCUGACCUUCCUAGUUUUCUGAGACUGCAUCCACUUUGAUAGUUUCUACUGAGUCCAAAUUAGAACAUCCCAGCUGGUGGGCUGUCUCCCAGGAAGCCCUCGGAGAGGAGCGGUGCAUAGGGGGCACCUGGACACAGCCCACCUCCCCCGAGUAGCGUCAGGUAGGCUUGUCUAUCUACAUCCUUUCGCCCUUUCUCAGGAAACUAUCAGAUGAUGUGCUCCCCCAGAUGAAGAAGUAGUGCCAGGAAAAAGGAGACACGGGAUACAGGGAUCCUGAAGCCGGCGGAGGACAAGGGAGCUCCUGGGAGGACAGCUGUGCUCCGGCCUAGCAAUAGCGAGCAGCUGGUCCAGACUGCCGCCGUGACUCAGAAGAUAGACAUGCGGAGGGUUAUGAUCACAGAGCAACGAUGGUCCUUGUACAUGAAGAUAAAAAUGCUCAGGUGUGCCCAGGUUGAAGAAGAUGAAAGGCCCUGCCUCCCAGAGCGCCCGGGGACACUGGUGAUCUCUUCCAGGUCUGUUUCCACCCACUGCAGCUGUGGUGAGUCUAGAGGCAGAAAAUUCAUAGCAGCCCAUGCCCUUUGACCAUGUUUCUGCUGGUCAGCCUGCACCUCACUCACACUACGCCCUGUGACACAACCCCAGACAGACUCUGGAGAACUCAAGGGGACGUGGAAGCCAGGCUCUGCCCGGAAGCUCCACUCAGGUCAUCUUCAGGGAGCCGUGGGAGCAUCAUUGCCCUCCCCUUUCAAAGCUAGGUCUGUGCUUACUGCUCAGUUUUUUUCCAAACUAAACAAUGUUUUUGAGAGAUUCACAGAGAGAUAAAAGCAAUUAGGAAUAAAUGCCAGGGGGUGGUUAACACAAAGGUGGGGAUAUUGGUUACCUCUGGAGAGGAAAGGGGAUGGAAUGGCAGAGUGCUCAAGGGUCUCUGGAGGUGCUCCUGUCUCCAGUGUAGUCACGUGAGGUUCACUUUAUUCUUUAAUCUGUACAUACACUUUUUUUUUUUUUCUGAGAUGGAGUCCCACUCUGUCGCCCAGGCUGGAGUGCAAUGGUGUGAUCUCCGCUCACUGCAACCUCCACCUCCCAGAUUCAAGCGAUUCUCCUGCCUCAGCCUCCUGAGUAGCUGGGACUACAGAUGUGUGCCACCACGCCUGGCUAAUUUUUGUAUUUUUAGUAGAGACAGGGUUUCACCAUGUUGGCCAGGCUGGUCUCAAACUCCUGACCUCAAGUGAUCCGCCUGCCUCGGCCUCCCAAAGUGCUGGGAUUACAGGCGUGAGCCACUGUGCCUGGCCUGUACAUACACAUUCUCUAUAAAAUAUUUUGAAAUAAGCACUUUUAAUUAAUUAAGGAUUGUUCUGGAAAAGAAAAAAACUUUCUACUGAAAUAAUUGGCUGAGAUAGAAGUAAUUAUGUCUUAAAUGAUCUAGAUAAUUUUAUGACUGGCUGAAGCCUCAGCAUCAGAAGCAAGGGCUGAACAUUUUGGCUUCCUGCCAACCUUGACUCACUGAGCAAAUGAAUUUACCUUCAACAAUAUGUACAGUCCAGAUGUGCAUUUGUGCCUGUCUCAUUCUCAAUAUGAAAUAUGUUUUGAGAAUUGUUUGGGGUAAAAACAACAAAUGAUCUCUUUUGUCCACAUACUUUUCACCGUUCCUUCCUCGGCAGCCAAGUCGACUCAGCUGGCUCUUUGGGACCUGGCACAUUAAAACUAAAAUGUGCUCCAGUGGACUUCACUGUGUUUUUUUCUUUCUUUAACCAGCACAGGAGCUGCAGAAGGGCAUUUUGAAGUCUGGAGGUAAUGCCAGUUGGCCUGGGCAGGGAACAAUGUGUGAUUAAGCAGUGAAGGGGAUAAGGGACAAAUUCCGGGAGCCCUGCUUAUCUCUGCUGGAAUUACUGUACUGCAGGUCUCAAAUCCUGAAGGAUCCUGUAUUUGUUUUCACCUGGAACCUGGACCACAUUCAGGUGGCAGAUUAAAAUUAAGCCAAGUUCAUUCCAGGCCAUCCUAAUGAUUUUUUAAUUAGCAUCAGUGCACAGUGUAGUAAUUUGCAGUUCAUAGUCCACUUGUAAGUUGAAAUUAGAAACUGCAAGGACAGUAAUAUAAGUGGGAGGAGAGAUUUCAUUAAUCCCGUCAACAAAUAUUUAUUGACUGCAGCUGUGCUAGUGGGUAAUGAUAAUACAGCUAAGAGCCAAAACAAAGUUCCUCCCCUAUGGGCCUUUCUUUCCAGUGGGAAGAGGGUACAGGGUACAGUCAAUAAAUCCAAAUAUAUAUAUUUAUGUAUGCACACAGAUAUAUAUAUAAAACAAGUGGAAUGUGCUGUGAAGAAGAAGCAGGGUAAGGCUCUGGAAAGGGCCAAGGGUGUGCGUGAGUGGGGUGGUUACUGUAUAGAGAUUGGCCACGCCGGGUGCAGUGGCUCACGCCUGUAAUCCCAGCACUUUGGGAGGCCGAGGUGGGCGGAUCACCUGAGGUCUGGAGUUCGAGACCAGCCUGACCAACAUGGAGAAACCCCAUCUCUACUAAAAAUACAAAAUUAGCCAAGCGUGGUGGCGCAUGCCUGUAAUUCCAGCUACUCGGGAGGCUGAGGCAGGAGAAUGGCUUGAACCCGGGAGGCAGAGGUUGCUGUGAGCUGAGAUCGUGCCAUUGCACUCCAGCCUGGGCAAUAAGAGUGAAACUCCCUCUCAAAAAAAAAAAAAAAAAAAAAAAGAGAGAUUGGCCAGGAAAGGCCUCUGGCAAGAUGAUCUCUGAAGGAAGUGAGAGUAAGUGGUGCAGCUUUUGGGAGGAAGAUAGUGCUGGGCAGAGGGAAGAGCAAAGGCUACGUCUCUGCAUUCCAAGAUUACAAAUAGAGGGUAACAUUCACCCUCCACCCCUCAACGCCUCUUUCCUGUGACCUUCGGGAGCUGCAGAACUUCAGUGUCCAUCAGUCAGAGGCAAUGCCCCUGACCCAGACGCCUCUAGUUGAGAGAUAGACAGAGCUGGAUUUAUAGCACCACAGACCUGACCUGGAAUGAGACUUGCAAGUAUGUCAGGGAGCUGCACGCUAACCUAGGAAGAGGCUGGCCAGAUGGAAUCUUGCUCUGUUGCCCAGGCUAGAAUGCAGUGGCGUGAUCUUGGCUCACCAAAAAUUCUGCCUCCUGGGUUCAAGUGCCUCCACACCCAGCUAAUUUUGUAUUUUUAGUAGAGACGAGAUUUCACCAUGUUGGCCAGGCUAGUCUUGAACUCCUGACAUUGUGAUCCACCCACCUCAGCCUCCCAAAGUGCUAAGAUUACAGGUGUGAGCCACCAUGCCCGGCCUACCUGGAGCAUUAUUAAAACCUUAAACCUUUAAAUUUUUCAUCAUUGUGCUUUGUUUCCUUAAAGAUUAGGAAAGGGAUUGUCAGCGGAUAAGACUUGCCCUCUUCUGCUGCUCUCUAGCCGUGGGCAAGUUCCUUCCACUCACUGUGUGUCAUUUUCUUCAUCUGUAAACACAGGAUAAUAGUAACAACACCUCUCUCCUAGGGCCUGGACGGGGCAUGCCAGUAAGGGGUCCUGAAGCUUAGGCCCCUGGGAUUUGGAUAGAGAAAGUCAUGGUGAAGGUGGGUGUGACAUUGGUGAGGUGGCAUUGGACACCCUUCAGGGCCUCUCCUGUCCUCUGUACACUCCAGACAGUGCCCAUUUGUGCAGAGGCUGUCCUGGGUCUCUGCCUGAGGGCUUUCUCUGCUCCUCUACCCCAGACCAAUCCGAAGUGUCCCCACGAGCAACCUUCAACCAAAGAGGGACAGGAGUCGGUGAACAUGCACCUCAGCCUCCUCACCUCUCCGAGGAACUUUAAAAAAAUCUUGUAUUGGCUGCAUGGCAGAGAUGGGGGGAUUGCUUGAGCCUAUGAGUUCACAACCAGGCCUAGGAACAUAGUGAGACCUCCCUCUUCCCUCGGCCCAACCCGCCAACACCCCCAUCUCUACAGAAAAUUUUAAAAUUAGCCAGGCUUCGUGGUGGGAACCGUAAAAAUCUAAGAAGGGUCUCAGUUAAUUUAGAAAGUUUAUUUUUGGCUGGGAGCAGCAGCCCACACCUGUAAUCCCAACACUUUGGGAGACCGAGGCAGGCGGAUCACUUGAGACCAGUUCAUGACAGCCUCAGGAGGUCCUGAUGACAUGUGCCCAGGUAGUGGGGGCACAGCUUGGUUUUAUUUUUAUUUUUUACUUUUUAAAUUAUUAUUAUUUUUUUGAGACGGAGCCUUGCUCUGUCAUCCAGGCUGGAGUGUAGUAGCAUGAUCAUGGCUCACUGUAACCUCCGCCUCCUGGAUUCAAGCGAUCCUCCUGCCUCAGCCUCCCAGGUAGCUGGGAUUACAGGCACAUGACACCACACCCGUCUCAUUUUUGUAUUUUUUAGUAGAGAUGGGUUUUCACCAUGUUGGUCAGGCUGGUCUUGAACUCCUGACCUCAGGUGAUCUGCCUGCCUUGGCCUCCCAAAGUGCUGGGAUUACAGGCGUAAGCCACCACGCCCGGCCACACAGCUUGGUUUUUUCUUUUUUUUUUUUUUUGAGACGGAGUUUCGCUCUUUCACCCAGGCUGGAAUGAAGUGGUGUGAUCUCAGCUCACUGCAGCCUCUGCCCCCCAGGCUCAAGCGAUUCUCCUCCCUCAGCCUCCCGAGUAGCUGUGAUAACAGGUGCCCGCCACCACGCCCGGCUAAUUUUUGUAUUUUUAGUACAGACGGGGUUUCACCACAUUGGCCAGGCUGGUCUCAAACUCCUGACCUCAGGUGAUCCAUCUGCCUCGGUCUCUCAAAGUGCUAGGAUUACAGGCGUGAGCCACCGCGCCAGCCAACAGCUUGGUUUUAUACAUUUUAGGGAGACAUGAGAAGUCAAUCAAUGUAAUAUGUACAUUGGUUCUGUCCGGAAAGGUGGGACAACUCAAGCAGGGAGAGGGUUUCCAGGUGACAGGUAGGUGAGAGACAAAGGGUUGCAUUCUUUUGACUUUCUGAUUAGCCUUUCCAAAGGAGGCAAUCAGAUAUGCAUCUAUCUCAGUAAGCAGAGGAAUGACUUCCUAAUUUUUUUUUUUUUUUGAGACGGACUCUUGCUCUAUCACCCAGGCUGGAGUGCAGUGGCAUGAUCUCCGCUCACUGCAAGCUCCACCUCCUGGGUUCACGCCAUUCUCCUGUCUCAGCUUCCCGAGUAGCUGGGACUACAGG